GAUGAACGCUGGCGGCGUGCCUAAUACAUGCAAGUCGAGCGAACAGACGAGGAGCUUGCUCCUCUGACGUUAGCGGCGGACGGGUGAGUAACACAUGGAUAACCUACCUAUAAGACUGGGAUAACUUCGGGAAACCGGAGCUAAUACCGGAUAAUAUAUUGAACCGCAUGGUUCAAUAGUGAAAGACGGUUUUGCUGUCACUUAUAGAUGGAUCCGCGCCGCAUUAGCUAGUUGGUAAGGUAACGGCUUACCAAGGCAACGAUGCGUAGCCGACCUGAGAGGGUGAUCGGCCACACUGGAGCUGAGACACGGUCCAGACUCCUACGGGAGGCAGCAGUAGGGAAUCUUCCGCAAUGGGCGAAAGCUUGACGGAGCAACGCCGCGUGAGUGAUGAAGGUCUUCGGAUCGUAAAACUCUGUUAUUAGGGAAGAACAAAUGUGUAAGUAACUAUGCACGUCUUGACGGUACCUAAUCAGAAAGCCACGGCUAACUACGUG
rnacentral:rRNA from 1 species